AUCGAACGCUGGCGGCAGGCCUAACACAUGCAAGUCGAACGAGUGGCGGACGGGUGAGUAAUGUCUGGGAAACUGCCUGAUGGAGGGGGAUAACUACUGGAAACGGUAGCUAAUACCGCAUCCCAUCAGAUGUGCCCAGAUGGGAUUAGCUAGUUGGUGGGGUAACGGCUCACCAAGGCGACGAUCCCUAGCUGGUCUGAGAGGAUGACCAGCCACACUGUAACUGGGACACGGUCCAGAUUCCUACGGGCGGCGGCAGUGGGGAAGAUUGCAUGAUGGGCGAAAGCCUGAUGCUAGCAUGCCGCGUGUAUGAAGAAGGCCUACGGGUUGUAAGGUACUUUCAGCGGGGAGGCGUUACCCGCAGAAGAAGCAGCGGCUAACUCCGUGGCAGCAGCAGCGGUAAUAC
rnacentral:rRNA from 1 species